rnacentral:tRNA from 1 species
GUUGUGCUCAGUGGUAGAGUACUUGCCUAGCAUGCACAAGGUCCUGGGUUCAAUCCUCAGCACAAUA